CUGCUUUGUGGCCGAACAACGGAGCCUGGGAGCCACUCAAGCUUCUGCUCCAUGGCACUCAGCAGCUGGUGUUCAACAACUAAAAUUUAGAGACCAGAACUAGAAAGGUAACUGGGCUAAGAAGAUAGCCAACAUUUUGGCUUUGGCCCUUCAAGGUCUACAAAUAACCCAGGUCAUGAAAGAAUCUUUUCUACAAGAUCCUACAACUUAGAAAAUAAGAUGCUGUGGCCAUCCUCCCAGAAUGUACCACCAGGGACCAAGAUGAUGGAUUCACUGCAAGCAGCA